AUUGAACGCUGGCGGAAUGCUUUACACAUGCAAGUCGAACGAAGCCUCCGGGCUUGGUGGCGCAGGGGGGGGUAACGGGGGGGAAUCUGCCCUGGGGUGCGGAAUAACGGUUAGAAUUACCUGCUAAUACCGGAUGAUGUCUUCGAACCAAAGUUUUAUCGCCCAAGGAUGAGCCCGCGAAGGAUUAGGAAGUUGGUGGGGUAAUGGCCAACCAAGCCGACGAUCCUUAGCUGGUCUGAGAGGAUGAUCAGCCACACUGGGACUGGGACACGGCCCAGACUCCUCCGGGAGGCAGCAGUGGGGAAUAUUGGAAAACGGGCGAAAGCAUGAUCCAGCAAUGCCGCGUGAGUGAUGAAGGCCUUAGGGUUGUAAAGCUCUUUUACCAGGGAUGAUAAUGACAGUACCUGGAGAAUAAGCUCCGGCUAACUCCGUGCCAGCAGCCGCCGUAA
rnacentral:rRNA from 1 species